AUAUAACACUAUAAAGUGUAUAAAAUAAUCCAAACGAAAGGAUUAGAAAGAGGCUAAUAAUGCAAAACGUUUAGCGAAAUUCCCGUAAUUCCAUAUAAAAAAAUUACUGUAAUAUUAUUGAGAGAUUUUAAAGGCAAGUGUGUGUGCGAGAAAAAUGCUAACUAGCAUUCCCUCCCA